GCUGACCUAAAUCAUGUCUGGAAGUUUCAGGGUCUGUGUAGUGCCAAUGUAACUCAAAACGCAUGGGAUGAUUUCCUUUCCUAUCAUCAGAGAAUGCGUGUACACACCACUCCGUUCUUGGGGGAAAGUAAACUCUAGCGACGUCAGUGCAAAGCGGAUUCAGAACUGUCUUUCCAUUUCAGAAAUGUCUACUUUCCUACCAAUCAUAAAAACAAGUAUCCAUAGCCGACGGUGAGGGGACACAAAUAUAGCUGUCCACUAGUGGCAACGACACUGGUGCUUGAAGAUUUCUGCAGUCUAUUUACAGGGAGCACACACGGAAGAAGAAGCUCUGCUGAAGCAAGUUGUUUGUGGCCC
rnacentral:lncRNA from 1 species